ensembl:snRNA U6 U6 spliceosomal RNA
GUACUCACUUUGGCAGUAUACAUACUAAAACUGGAACACCACGGAGAAGAUUAGCAUGGCCCUUGUGCAAGAAUGACACGCAAAUUUGUGAAGCUUUCCAUGUUUUU